rnacentral:rRNA from 1 species
UAAUACAGAGGGUGCAAGCGUUAAUCGGAUUUACUGGGCGUAAAGGGCGCGUAGGUGGUUAUGUAAGUGAGAUGUGAAAUCCCCGGGCUUAACCUGGGAACUGCGUCUUAUACUGCAUAGCUUGAGUACAUGAGAGGGUAGUGGAAUUUCCGGUGUAGCGGUGAAAUGCGUAGAUAUCGGAAGGAACACCAGUGGCGAAGGCGGCUACCUGGCAUGAUACUGACACUGAGGCGCGAGAGCGUGGGGAGCAAACAGGAUUAGAUACCCUGGUAGUCCACGCCGUAAACGAUGAAAACUAGAUGUUGGGCAGCUUAGACUGUUCGGUAUCGAAGCUAACGCGAUAAGUUUUCCGCCUGGGGAGUACGGUCGCAAGAUUA